CUAAGCCCUGGCUUCUGCAGGCUGCCCCAGGACAGGGCAUGCAGGCAGACACAGGGCUCAAUGGGGUGGGGAGCAGAUUCUAGCUCAGUCAGCCAGAAUGUUCUCUAAGCAGAGCUGUUGAGAUGAAAAUCUUCGACUUUUGUGAGCACCACGAGGUGCUUUAUGUAUGUUAUGGUGCAUUCUCCCGUGAGUGAGACGUGGUUGUCCUAUUCCACAGAUGAAGAAGGGAAGUCACUUGCUUCAUGGCCAGGGAAGGGCUCCAGCAAGACAUGGGCUCCUGAAAGUGACAGUGUGUGAAGGCCCGGAGAGGCACAGGACCUGCUGGAGGAUGCCAAAGUAAACUUGGUGGCCACAUGUCAAAGACGGAGAUGCACAAAAUGGGAGGAACCUAGAUCCCUGAAUGACUUUGUGGAGCUGAGCCCCUAGGCCACCCUGCAUUGGAUGUGAAAUGAGUGAGAAAUAAACCUUUGGAGUUUCA
rnacentral:lncRNA from 10 species